GAUGAACGCUGGCGGCGUGGAUAAGGCAUGCAAGUCGAACGGACUUUCUAAAAUCGGAGAUGAGAUUAUAUCAAGUCAAAGGUCGUAGAAAGUUAGUGGCGAACGAGGUAGUAAUACAUAGGAACUUCCCCUUCAGUCGUGAAUAAUCCGUCGAAAGACGGACUAAUACACGAUGGUCUCAAAGAUUAAUUUCUGCGAGUAAAGUUUUAACGCUGGAGGAAAGGCCUGUGCGAUAUCAGCUAGUUGGUAGUGUAAUGGACUACCAAGGCUAUGACGUCUAGGGGAGCUGAGAGGCUGACCCCCACCGAUGGUACUGAGACACGGACCAUACACCUACGGGUGGCUGCAGUCGAGAAUCUUCCACAAUGGACGAAAGUCUGAUGGAGCGACGCCGCGUGAUUGAUGAAGUCCCUCUGGGACGUAAAGAUCUUUUAUGAGGGAAGAAGUUUAUUGACUGUACCUCAUGAAUAAGAGGCUCCUAAUCUCGUGCCAGCAGGAGCGGUAAUACGAGAGCCUCGAGCGUUAUCCGGAAUUAUUGGGCGUAAAGGGUGCGUAGGUUGUUCUGUUAGUCUUUUGUCAAAGCCCCGAGCUUAACUUGGGAUAUGCGAAGGAAACGGCAGAACUUGAAAGUGCGAGAGGUAUACAGAACUCAUGGUGUAGGGGUGAAAUCCGUUGAUAUCAUGGGGAAUACCAAAUGCGAAGGCAGUAUACUGGCGCAUAUUUGACACUGAAGCACGAAAGCGUGGGUAGCGAAUGGGAUUAGAUACCCCAGUAGUCCACGCCCUAAACGAUGAUCUCUCGCUAUUCGGAGUAUCGACCCUCUGAGUGGCUUAGCUAACGCGUUAAGAGAUCCGCCUGGGAAGUACGGCCGCAAGGCUAAAACUCAAAGGAAUAGACGGGGACUUGCACAAGCAGUGGAUUAUGUGGUUUAAUUCGAUGGUAAACGAAGAACCUUACCAGGGUUAGAAAUCCUAGUGAAAGCCCGAGGAAACUCGGGCCCUCGCAAGACUCUAGGACAGGUGAUGCAUGGCCGUCGUCAGUUCGUGGUUUGAAUUGUACCCUUAAGUGGGCUAACGAACGCAACCCUCGUUGUGUGUUACAAGUGUCACACGAGACCGCCCCCGCCUAAGAUCAUAAUUUUAAAUUAUAAAUUUUUAAUUUUAAAUUGUGCAUUUAGGCGGGGGAGGAAGGAGAGGAUGACGCCAGGUCAGCAUGUCCCUUUGAUACCCUGGGCUACACACAUAAUACAAUGGCCACUACAACGCGUUGCGACGAGGUGACUCUGAGCUAAUCGUUUAAAAGUGGCCUCAGUUCGGAUUGGAGGCUGCAACUCGCCUCCAUGAAGCUGGAAUUGCUAGUAAUCGCAGGUCAGCUAAACUGCGGUGAAUACGUUCUCAAGUCU
rnacentral:rRNA from 1 species